UAAGGAGGUUUCAUUAAUGAAAGUGCCACCCCCGGCUUGCUGCUGUUUCUCCUGCUCACUUCACCUUUAAUGACACUGCGAAUCUGCCCCUGCUCUGCGACACUGACCUCUGACCUGGGGAGCUGAGGAGCAGAGAAUGACCUGCCAUGCUGGCCCCUCCCACACCCGUGUCCCAAAAUGCGUUUGUCUCACUGGGUACAAUGUCAAGCCCUGGUGAUAAUCUUGGCCGCGGAUCGCUGGCGCCUGCUUGUCACCCUCACCGGUCCUGAGUGUAUCGCUGACUCGCGAAGCCUGGAUGUGUCCAUCAGCACAGGAUGACACGUGUCAUAGACCAACUCCAAAUGGAGGUAUUGGACCUGAGCUAAAGGUCGCGUGGGGAGGAUGGACAACGUCAGCCACCUCUCAUCUCCUAAGACCAUGGAGCUGUCGGUGGAGACGGUCAUUGUGGGUGGAAAUGAUGGAGCCAAGCUUUUGGAUGAUGACAUGGGGAAGGGAGAUGAUGUGUGUGUAGGAGAUUGUCCUUCCCUCUAGGUGUUCCUCGGCCGACUUAUCUUGAAGGACCAGUGAUGUGGGCUGUGACCCAUCGCUGAGGCCCUCAGACGUUCCUGCAGAGGUUCAGUAAAUGUUCUUUUGUAAAAAUGUGAUCAGAGUAUGAUCUUCUUAGGGGGCGAGACGAGCCAGAAAAGGGACUGAGAAGCAUUUAGAAUUCUGAAGCGGGAGAAAUAGUGUUCAGUACUGAGAGAUACUGCUGGUUCCUGGGCAGCCUAACAGAAAGACUGACCUUCAGGGAGAAAGGACACGCACACAUGCUCACACACACACAUGCGCACACGCACACAGAUACAUUCUCUUGAUGCUGAAAGACAGAAACAUGUUGUCACUGCAUGCCAUGUGGAUAUUUUGCCAUUAGAG